AGCGAACGCUGGCGGCAGGCUUAACACAUGCAAGUCGAGCGGACCUUUCGGGGUCAGCGGCGGACGGGUGAGUAACGCGUGGGAACGUGCCUUCCGGUUCGGAAUAACCCUGGGAAACUAGGGCUAAUACCGGAUACGCCCUUAUGGGGAAAGGUUUACUGCCGGAGGAUCGGCCCGCGUCCGAUUAGCUGGUUGGGGGGGUGACGGCCUACGAAGGCGACGAUCAGUAGCUGGGCUGUGAGGCUGAUCAGCCACACUGGGACUGAGACACGGUCCAGACUCCUACGGGAGGCGGGAGAGGGGGAUAUAGGAAAAUCGCGUGAAUGCUGAACCAGUCCGGCCUGGUGAGUGAUUAAGUUCGUAAGGAAGUAAAGCUCUUUUAUACGGGACGAUAAUGACGGUACCGGAGGAAUAAGCCCCGGCUAACUUCGUG
rnacentral:rRNA from 1 species